rnacentral:rRNA from 1 species
AAUUAACGCUGGCGGCAUGCCUAACACAUGCAAGUCGCACGAGAAAGCCCCUUUCGGGGGGCAAGUAAAGUGGCGCACGGGUGAGUAACGCGUGGAUAAUCUACCUCGUUCUGGGGGAUAACCCAUCGAAAGGUGGGCUAAUACCGCAUAAUCCGGCUGAAUCUUGGUUUGGUCGGCAAAGGUGGCCUCUUCAUGAAAGCUACCGGGAAGAGAUGAGUCCGCGUCCCAUUAGCUUGUUGGUAGGGUAACGGCCUACCAAGGCGACGAUGGGUAGCUGGUCUGAGAGAGCGAUCGGCCACAAGGGGACUGAGACACGGCCCCUACUCCUACGGGAGGCAG